rnacentral:rRNA from 1 species
AGCCAUGCCGCGUGUGUGAAGAAGGCCUUCGGGUUGUAAAGCACUUUCAGCAGUGAGGAAGGUAGUGUACUUAAUACGUGCAUUGCUUGACGUUAGCUGCAGAAGAAGCACCGGCUAACUCCGUGCCAGCAGCCGCGGUAAUACGGAGGGUGCGAGCGUUAAUCGGAAUUACUGGGCGUAAAGCGCAUGCAGGCGGUUUGUUAAGUCAGAUGUGAAAGCCCGGGGCUCAACCUCGGAACCGCAUUUGAAACUGGCAGGCUAGAGUCUUGUAGAGGGGGGUAGAAUUUCAGGUGUAGCGGUGAAAUGCGUAGAGAUCUGAAGGAAUACCAGUGGCGAAGGCGGCCCCCUGGACAAAGACUGACGCUCAGAUGCGAAAGCGUGGGUAGCAAACAGGAUUAGAUACCCUGGUAGUCCACGCCGUAAACGAUGUCUACUUGGAGGCUGAGGUUUAAGACUUUGGCUUUCGGAGCUAACGCAUUAAGUAGACCGCCU